GUGUUCACUUUGGCAGCACAUACACCAAAAAAUCUGAACAAUACAGAGAAGAUCAGCAUGGCCCCUGGGCAAAAAUGCCACGCAAAUCAUAAAGCAUUCCAUAUUUUA
ensembl:snRNA U6 U6 spliceosomal RNA